AACGAACGCUGGCGGCGCGCCUAAUACAUGCAAGUCGAGCGAGAAGACGUAGCAAUACGUUUGUAAAGCGGCGAACGGGUGAGGAAUACAUGGGUAACCUACCCUCGAGUGGGGAAGUAACUAGCCGAAGGUUAGCUAAUACCGCGUACGCUCCUUGGACGUUCGGUUUCGAGGGAGGGAAAGCGAUACCGUGGGUAUCGCGCUCUUGGAUGGGCUCAUGUCCUAUCAGCUUGUUGGGAGGUAACGGCUCACCAAGGCUUCGACGGGUAGCUGGUCUGAGAGGACGAUCAGCCACACUGGCACUGCGACACGGGCCAGACUCCUACGGGAGGCAGCAGUAAGGAAUAUUGCGCAAUGGGCGAAAGCCUGACGCAGCGACG
rnacentral:rRNA from 1 species